rnacentral:rRNA from 1 species
AUUGAACGCUGGCGGAAUGCUUUACACAUGCAAGUCGAACGGCAGCACGGGGGCAACCCUGGUGGCGAGUGGCGAACGGGUGAGUAAUAUAUCGGAACGUGCCCAGUCGUGGGGGAUAACGUAGCGAAAGUUACGCUAAUACCGCAUACGAUCUACGGAUGAAAGCGGGGGAUCGCAAGACCUCGCGCGAUUGGAGCGGCCGAUAUCAGAUUAGGUAGUUGGUGGGGUAAAGGCUCACCAAGCCAACGAUCUGUAGCUGGUCUGAGAGGACGACCAGCCACACUGGGACUGAGACACGGCCCAGACUCCUACGGGAGGCAGCAGUGGGGAAUUUUGGACAAUGGACGCAAGUCUGAUCCAGCCAUUCCGCGUGCAGGACGAAGGCCUUCGGGUUGUAAACUGCUUUUGUACGGAACGAAAAAGCUCUUACUAAUACUAGGAGUCCAUGACGGUACCGUAAGAAUAAGCACCGGCUAACUACGUGCCAGCAGCCGCGGUAAUACGUAGGGUGCGAGCGUUAAUCGGAAUUACUGGGCGUAAAGCGUGCGCAGGCGGUUAUAUAAGACAGAUGUGAAAUCCCCGGGCUCAACCUGGGAACUGCAUUUGUGACUGUAUAGCUAGAGUGCGGCAGAGGGGGAUGGAAUUCCGCGUGUAGCAGUGAAAUGCGUAGAUAUGCGGAGGAACACCGAUGGCGAAGGCAAUCCCC